CAGCAGCCACGGUAAUACGAAGGGGGCUAGCGUUGCUCGGAAUUACUGGGCGUAAAGGGAGCGUAGGCGGAUCGUUUAGUCAGGGGUGAAAUCCCGGGGCUCAACCUCGGAACUGCCUUUGAUACUGGCGAUCUUGAGUAUGGGAGAGGUGUGUGAACUCCGAGUGUAGAGGUGAAAUUCGUAGAUAUUCGGAAGAACACCGGUGGCGAAGGCGGCGACCUGGUCCUUGACUGACGCUGAGGCGCGAAAGCGUGGGGAGCAAACAGGAUUAGAUCCCCGGUAGUCCCUGUCUCUUAUACAC
rnacentral:rRNA from 1 species